rnacentral:rRNA from 1 species
GUUGAUCAUGGCUCAGAUUGAACGCUGGCGGCAGGCCUAACACAUGCAAGUCGAGCGGUAGCACAGAGAAGCUUGCUUCUUGGGUGACGAGCGGCGGACGGGUGAGUAAUGCAUAGGAAUCUGCCCGAUAGUGGGGGAUAACCUGGGGAAACCCAGGCUAAUACCGCAUACGUCCUACGGGAGAAAGGGGGCUCCGGCUCCCGCUAUUGGAUGAGCCUAUGUCGGAUUAGCUAGUUGGUGAGGUAAAGGCUCACCAAGGCGACGAUCCGUAGCUGGUCUGAGAGGAUGAUCAGCCACAUCGGGACUGAGACACGGCCCGAACUCCUACGGGAGGCAGCAGUGGGGAAUAUUGGACAAUGGGCGCAAGCCUGAUCCAGCCAUGCCGCGUGUGUGAAGAAGGCCUUCGGGUUGUAAAGCACUUUCAGCGAGGAAGAACGCCUAGCGGUUAAUACCCGCUAGGAAAGACAUCACUCGCAGAAGAAGCACCGGCUAACUCCGUGCCAGCAGCCGCGGUAAUACGGAGGGUGCAAGCGUUAAUCGGAAUUACUGGGCGUAAAGCGCGCGUAGGUGGCUUGAUAAGCCGGUUGUGAAAGCCCCGGGCUCAACCUGGGAACGGCAUCCGGAACUGUCAAGCUAGAGUGCAGGAGAGGAAGGUAGAAUUCCCGGUGUAGCGGUGAAAUGCGUAGAGAUCGGGAGGAAUACCAGUGGCGAAGGCGGCCUUCUGGACUGACACUGACACUGAGGUGCGAAAGCGUGGGUAGCAAACAGGAUUAGAUACCCUGGUAGUCCACGCCGUAAACGAUGUCGACCAGCCGUUGGGUGCCUAGCGCACUUUGUGGCGAAGUUAACGCGAUAAGUCGACCGCCUGGGGAGUACGGCCGCAAGGUUAAAACUCAAAUGAAUUGACGGGGGCCCGCACAAGCGGUGGAGCAUGUGGUUUAAUUCGAUGCAACGCGAAGAACCUUACCUACUCUUGACAUCCUGCGAACUUGUGAGAGAUCACU